rnacentral:rRNA from 1 species
AUUGAACGCUGGCGGCAUGCCUAACACAUGCAAGUCGAACGGGGCAGCAAUGCCUAGUGGCGGACGGGUGAGGAAUACGUAGGAAUCUGCCCUUAAGUGGGGGAUAACCAGGGGAAACCCUGACUAAUACCGCAUGAUCUCUUCGGAGCAAAGAGGGGGACCGCAAGGCCUCUCGCUUCUGGAUGAGCCUACGUCUGAUUAGCUAGUUGGUAGGGUAAAGGCCUACCAAGGCGACGAUCAGUAACUGGUCUGAGAGGAUGAUCAGUCACACCGGAACUGAGACACGGUCCGGACUCCUACGGGAGGCAGCAGUGGGGAAUAUUGGACAAUGGGCGCAAGCCUGAUCCAGCAAUGCCGCGUGUGUGAAGAAGGCCUUCGGGUUGUAAAGCACUUUAGCCUGGAAAGAAAAAACUUUGGUUAACACCCAAAGUCUUGACGGUACCAGGAGAAUAAGCACCGGCUAACUCUGUGCCAGCCGCCGCAGUAACAC